rnacentral:misc_RNA from 1 species
UUAAGUUCAGCGGGUAGCCCUGCCUGAUCUGAGGCCGAAACCUGAGACACGUAUCGACUGGAAGCCUGAGACGGACGCCCAUCGCUCGCGAUCCCCAUGGGUCCCCACGACGAUCCUUUACGACGUCGAGGGGAAAGGUCACGCUCGAUCGCGAUGCCCGUCCUCUCCGCUGAUGCAUUUCAGGAGAGCCGACCGUCCCC